UACGAAGGGGGCUAGCGUUGUUCGGAAUUACUGGGCGUAAAGCGCACGUAGGCGAAUAUUUAAGUCAGGGGUGAAAUCCUAGAGCUCAACUCUGGAACUGCCUCUGAUACUGGGUAUCUUGAGUAUGGAAGAGGUGAGUGGAAUUGCGAGUGUAGAGGUGAAAUUCGUAGAUAUUCGCAGGAACACCAGUGGCGAAGGCGGCUCACUGGUCCAUAACUGACGCUGAGGUGCGAAAGCGUGGGGAGCAAACAGG
rnacentral:rRNA from 1 species